CAUAAGUUUGGAACAUUUUUGAUAUCCCAAUACAAAUUAGAACUUCUUUCCAGUUGAAUACGUCCGCUCCAAACGAGGCAACCAGCUGAUAAAGUACAACGGCUACACAUACUCCGCGGGGUCGUUGUCGCAGAAGAAGGGCACCAGGUGGCGCUGCUCGACCCACCAGCACCGGAGGUGCAAGGCGACCGUUCACACUCUCGAAGGAGUCGUCAUUGCUGUCUACAGUUUGUGACAUCUAAAAACGGGAACGUGAUGGUCAUUCAUCAAGGUUACAAGUAUCACAUACAAAGAGUGCUGGGUGUGAAGCGAAUGUGGCGUUGCGCCAAACACAACAGACAGUGCAAAGCGGGACUGGUCACUAUAGGAGAAGAGUUCUGUCAGUGGAAGAAUUUUCAUAACCAUGCUCCUUGAUGUUCUGAACAAAUCCAAGGACGCGUUUUGUGUGCCAUUAUUUUCUUUUAAUUGAUGAAUGAAUGUAUUAUGAUUAUAGUUGUCGCUUGA